UUGAAGUUUUGUUUUGUAGUGAGCAAAGCAAAACUUUUACGCGUAUCGGUGAGGUGUAUUUUUUAUAAAGUAACUGAAGAUGUUUCAAAUCAUAAGAAUUGUUUAUUAAUUCAAAAUGUAGAGGCAAUCAUUGUAUUCAUCAUAUAUUAUAAUACGAAAUGCGUUCAUAAAAAAGAGUAAAACAUUCAAACGGCACGAAUCUUUGACAUUAAGGUUGGCAUCAUUUAAAACAAAGCAAAGACACUAUGGCGACGAGUAUCAAUAAUGUUCAGAAAUCUGACCAAGAGGAAGAAUUAAAGAGCAGAGAUAUACCUGAUGUCGGAGAAGAAACUGCCACGUCCAAAUCUAUUCCUAAAGAAA